rnacentral:rRNA from 1 species
UACGAGACGACGCUGGCGGCGUGCCUAAUACAUGCAAGUCGAACGGUCUUUUCUAUGGAAGCUUGCUUCCACUGAGAAGAUAGUGGCGAACGGGUGAGUAACACGUGGGUAACCUGCCCAUAAGAGGGAGAUAACAUCCGGAAACGGGUGCUAAUACCGCAUAGUUUUCUUGAUCGCAUGAUUGAGAAAGGAAAGACGGCCUUUGUGCUGUCGCUUAUGGAUGGACCCGCGGCGUAUUAGUUAGUUGGUGAGGUAACGGCUCACCAAGACGAUGAUACGUAGCCGACCUGAGAGGGUGAUCGGCCACAUUGGGACUGAGACACGGCCCAAACUCCUACGGGAGGCAGCAGUAGGGAAUCUUCCGCAAUGGACGAAAGUCUGACGGAGCAACGCCGCGUGAGUGAAAGAAGGUUUUUCGGAUCGUAAAACUCUGUUGUCAGAGAAGAACAAGUUGGAGAGUAACUGCUCCAGCCUUGACGGUAUCUGACCAGAAAGCCACGGCUAACUACGUGCCAGCCGCCGC